rnacentral:rRNA from 1 species
UGGUUGUCGUCAGCUCGUGUCGUGAGAUGUUGGUUAAGUCCCGCAACGAGCGCAACCCCUAUUGUUAGUUGCUAUCAUUCAGUUGGGCACUCUAGCGAGACUGCCGGUAAUAAACCGGAGGAAGGUGGGGAUGACGUCAAAUCAUCAUGCCCCUUAUGACCUGGGCUACACACGUGCUACAAUGGUUGGUACAACGAGUUGCGAGUCGGUGACGGCGAGCUAAUCUCUUAAAGCCAAUCUCAGUUCGGAUUGUAGGCUGCAACUCGCCUACAUGAAGUCGGAAUCGCUAGUAAUCGCGGAUCAGCACGCCGCGGUGAAUACGUUCCCGGGCCUU